CAAUACGGAAGGUACACGAGUGGCGCACGGGUGCGUAACGCGUAUGUAAUCUGCCCUUGACCGGAACAAAACAGCUGGAAACGGCUGCUAAUAUUCCAUGGUCAUUUUCGGAGGCAUCUCUGGGGAUGUAAAGAUUUAUUGGUCAAGGAUGAGCAUGCGUAUUAUUAGAUAGUUGGUGGGGUAACGGCCCACCAAGUCGACGAUGAUUAGGGGUUCUGAGAGGAUUAACCCCCACACUGGAACUGAGACACGGUCCAGACUCCUACGGGAGGCAGCAGUAGGGAAUAUUGGGCAAUGGAAGGAAUUCUGACCCAGCCAUGCCGCGUGAAGGAAGACGGUCCUAUGGAUUGUAAACUUCUUUUAUCGCAGAGUAAAUUGGGGCACGUGUGCCCCAUUGAGAGUAUGCGAUGAAUAAGUAUCGGCUAACUCCGUGCCAGCAGCCGCGGUAAUACGGAGGAUACGAGCGUUAUCCGGGUUUAUUGGGUUUAAAGGGUGCGCAGGCGGAUCGGUAAGUCAGGGGUGAAAAGUUCGUGCUUAACAUGAAUCGUGCCUUUGAUACUGCCGGACUAGAGUGCAAUAGACGUGGGCGGAAUGUGAUGUGUAGCGGUGAAAUGCUUAGAUAUGUCACAGAACACCGAUCGAGAAGUCAGCUCACGAGUUUGCAACUGACGCUCAUGCACGAAAGCGUGGGGAUCAAACAGGAUUAGAUACCCUGGUAGUCCACGCCGUAAACGAUGAUCACUCGUUGUUGGCCGGCGACGGUCAGUGGCCAAGCGAAAGCGAUAAGUGAUCCACCUGGGGAGUACGAUCGCAAGGUUGAAACUCAAAGGAAUUGACGGGGGCCCGCACAAGCGGAGGAGCAUGUGGUUUAAUUCGAUGUUACGCGAGGAACCUUACCCGGGCUUGAACGUAAGACGACGACGCAGGAGACUGCGUUUCCUUCGGGCGUUUUGCGAGGUGCUGCAUGGUUGUCGUCAGCUCGUGCCGUGAGGUGUUAGGUUAAGUCCUGCAACGAGCGCAACCCUUACUUUUAGUUGCCAGCAUGUAAAGAUGGGGACUCU
rnacentral:rRNA from 1 species